rnacentral:rRNA from 1 species
UACGAAGGGGGCUAGCGUUGCUCGGAAUCACUGGGCGUAAAGGGUGCGUAGGCGGGUCUUUAAGUCAGGGGUGAAAUCCUGGAGCUCAACUCCAGAACUGCCCUUGAUACUGAGGAUCUUGAGUUCGGGAGAGGUGAGUGGAACUGCGAGUGUAGAGGUGAAAUACGUAGAUAUUCGCAAGAACACCAGUGGCGAAGGCGGCUCACUGGCCCGAUACUGACGCUGAGGCACGAAAGCGUGGGGAGCAAACAGG